CCAAGCCUCACCCAACCCCAGGUGAGGAGUACAAAAAAACUCUAGGAUCCCCUAUCCUACAACCCUGAUACUAGACCUCCAGACUUUUCUGUCAAGGGUCAUGUCCUCGGAAACCCGCAUUCUAGCCAUGUCAUGCCUAAUCACCUCUCCCCAAUACCUCUUAGGCCUUCCUCUGCCUCGACGAACGCCGAUAAUCGCCAGUCGCUCAC
rnacentral:lncRNA from 1 species